rnacentral:rRNA from 1 species
UUAACGACUCUCGACAACGGAUAUCUCGGCUCACGCAUCGAUGAAGAACGUAGCAAAAUGCGAUACUUGGUGUGAAUUGCAGAAUCCCGUGAACCAUCGAGUUUUUGAACGCAAGUUGCGCCCGAAGCCUUUUGGCCGAGGGCACGUCUGCCUGGGCGUCACAC